GCGGUCGUCGUCCAGUCUGGUUAGGACAUCAGCCCUCCAAGCUGAUAACACGGGUUCAAAUCCCGUCGACCGCA
rnacentral:tRNA from 1 species